rnacentral:rRNA from 1 species
UACGUAGGGUGCGAGCGUUGUCCGGAAUUACUGGACGUAAAGAGCUUGUAGGCGGUUUGUCGCGUCGUCCGUGAAAACUUGGGGCUUAACCCCAAGCUUGCGGUCGAUACGGGCAGACUUGAGUUCGGCAGGGGAGACUGGAAUUCCUGGUGUAGCGGUGAAAUGCGCAGAUAUCAGGAGGAACACCGGUGGCGAAGGCGGUUCUCUGGGCAUGAUCUGACGCUGAGGAGCGAAAGUGUGGGAGCGAACAGG